CAUUGCUAGCUGUAAAUCUGACUCCCUGAGGCUCUACCAUGGGUUAAGUUUUGCAGUUCACUGUGCUACUCUGUAUCCACAGAUUCCACAUCCAUGGACCAAAAAUGUUUUCUAAAAAGCUCUGUUUUUUAUUUUGAAACUGUUGAACUGGCACUGAGCAGGAAUGGUACAGAGGCGGCAGUUGCUGGCCAUGAGGGAUCUGGGGAUUCAUGCCUCCCUGGGGAAGGCC
rnacentral:lncRNA from 1 species